ACUUAAGACAACGACGGUUAUUUUAGAUGCUAUGAUUUAUAUUUAUAUAGAGAUAUUUCUAGACUAUUAAAGCUCGCCCUUUGAUACUGGAAUCAGGGGCAUCUUGGGAUUUAUUGUUAUGUAAGAAGAUAGCAUAGAUUUUGGGAUAGUAUUAUGUCAGACGUUGCUUACUCUGAUCUUCAUUGAUGUAUGCAUCCCGUUUCCAAUAAAUGCCACACUGAGAGUG
rnacentral:lncRNA from 1 species